AACGAACGCUGGCGGCAUGCCUAACACAUGCAAGUCGAACGAGACCUUCGGGUCUAGUGGCGCACGGGUGCGUAACGCGUGGGAACCUGCCCUUAGGUUCGGAAUAACUCCCCGAAAGGGGUGCUAAUACCGGAUAAUGUCUUCGGACCAAAGAUUUAUCGCCUUUGGAUGGGCCCGCGUUGGAUUAGCUAGUUGGUAGGGUAAAAGCCUACCAAGGCGACGAUCCAUAGCUGGUCUGAGAGGAUGAUCAGCCACACUGGGACUGAGACACGGCCCAGACCCCUGGGGGGGGCAGAGGUGGGAAAAAUUGGAAAAGGGGCAAAGGCUGAACCCAGCACUGCGGGGUGAGGAAUGAGGGCCUUGGGUUUGAAACCCUUUUUUCCCGGGAAUGAAAGUAAAAGCCCGGGGAAAAAAACCCCGGGCAACCCCGG
rnacentral:rRNA from 1 species